rnacentral:rRNA from 1 species
UAAUACGGAGGGUGCAAGCGUUAAUCGGAAUUACUGGGCGUAAAGCGCACGCAGGCGGUUUGUUAAGUCAGAUGUGAAAUCCCCGGGCUCAACCUGGGAACUGCAUUUGAAACUGGCAAGCUAGAGUCUCGUAGAGGGGGGGUAGAAUUCCAGGUGUAGCGGUGAAAUGCGUAGAGAUCUGGAGGAAUACCGGUGGCGAAGGCGGCCCCCCUGGACGAAGACUGACGCUCAGGUGCGAAAGCGUGGGGAGCAAACAGGAUUAGAUACCCUGGUAGUCCACGCUGUAAACGAUGUCGAUUUGGAGGUUGUGCCCUUGAGGCGUGGCUUCCGGAGCUAACGCGUUAAAUCGACCGCCUGGGGAGUACGGCCGCAAGGUUA